CGGGGAAAGCUAAUAUAUAGUAUUUUAUUGUUAAUAAAACUCAGAGAUUUAUCUCUCCCCGA
rnacentral:tRNA from 1 species